CCCACGUUUCGGCCUUUUGGCUAAGACAAAGGGUGUAAGUACUGUUCUUAUCAGCCUUAAUAUUGAUACGUCUCCAUUGGGGGGGACCUCGAAUUUAAAUUAAAAACUGAUUUUGAAAGGGGGUGAGGGGCCCGGGGGCUUGCUCCGCCCUCACCAACGGGUUGAACCCGGUAGCAGACUUCCCGGGAAGGGCCCACCAUAU